rnacentral:rRNA from 1 species
AGUGAACGCUGGCGGCAGGCCUAAUACAUGCAAGUCGAACGGCAGCACAGUGGAGCUUGCUCCAUGGGUGGCGAGUGGCGGACGGGUGAGGAAUACAUGGGAAUCUGCCCAGUCGUGGGGGAUAACGUAUGGAAACGUACGCUAAUACCGCAUGCGCCCCUCGGGGGAAAGUCGGGGACCGCAAGGCCUGACGCGAUUGGAUGAGCCCAUGUUCGAUUAGCUAGUUGGCGGGGUAACGGCCCACCAAGGCGACGAUCGAUAGCUGGUCUGAGAGGAUGAUCAGCCACACUGGAACUGAGACACGGUCCAGACUCCUACGGGAGGCAGCAGUAGGGAAUAUUGGACAAUGGGCGCAAGCCUGAUCCAGCCAUGCCGCGUGAGUGAAGAAGGCCCUCGGGUUGUAAAGCUCUUUUGUUGGGGAAGAAAGGCAGUUGGUUAAUACCCGAUUGUUCUGACGGUACCCAAAGAAUAAGCACCGGCUAACUUCGUGCCAG